UGGCCAAGAGUGGCUUCUUAACCUGGCUUUAGCUUAAAUUGGGUAGCCUAUUUGGAAGCCUGGUGAAAAUGUUCAGCUGAAAUGCACAGAUAUGGUCUAACGUUUUGUGGACACUCUCCUUAACAGAGCAUAAGCUCUAAGAGGAAAGAUGGACUGUUGAGAGAAUGAUCGUGCAAGGAUAUAGAUUUAUAGCUGCUAUUGCCCAGCUGUUAGCUGGUCAGUGUUAAAAUGUGUCUAUGAUGGAGAUGUAAACUGAACCUGAUUCAUGCGGUAGUAGAUUGUCUAUCCCUUUCUGAGCAUACUUGAUUGCUGUUGUUACUAUGGAGAUUCAGCAGAGUUUAGCUUUCCUUAAGCAAACAGGAGAAUCUGCCAGUUCUUCAGCAAAGGCCUGAUAAGAAUGAUGAAUGCUGGGGAGAUGACAUUAUAUACAAGAGAAAAGGUUAUGCAGAUUACUGUGAAGAUCACCAAAUUGGUCACUGGCAGCAUGAGUGUGAUUGUAAAAUCAAGAAUGGGACAACUAGCCCUAAGUGGAAUGGGAGCAGUUCUGGAUGAUAUGAAAAGCUGGUGGACUGCUGUCUUCCAUUCAGCUUGUGCAAUUUGUGGAAGGAGAUGAAGCAUCCUGCACACAAGCACAACAGAAGAAGAAUUAGUCUGUGCACCUUGGUUCCUUUUCAGUCAGACUCAUCAGUGUGCCUACCAGUAUUUUCCAGUCCAGGCAAGAUAGGCCAGACAGUACAUUCAAGAGUAUGCCUCAUUCAUCAGAUGUG